rnacentral:rRNA from 1 species
GAUUGAACGCUGGCGGCAGGCCUAACACAUGCAAGUCGAGCGGUAGCACAGAGAGCUUGCUCUCGGGUGACGAGCGGCGGACGGGUGAGUAAUGUCUGGGAAACUGCCUGAUGGAGGGGGAUAACUACUGGAAACGGUAGCUAAUACCGCAUAACGUCGCAAGACCAAAGUGGGGGACCUUCGGGCCUCAUGCCAUCAGAUGUGCCCAGAUGGGAUUAGCUAGUAGGUGGGGUAACGGCUCACCUAGGCGACGAUCCCUAGCUGGUCUGAGAGGAUGACCAGCCACACUGGAACUGAGACACGGUCCAGACUCCUACGGGAGGCAGCAGUGGGGAAUAUUGCACAAUGGGCGCAAGCCUGAUGCAGCCAUGCCGCGUGUGUGAAGAAGGCCUUCGGGUUGUAAAGCACUUUCAGCGGGGAGGAAGGCGUUAAGGUUAAUAACCUUGGCGAUUGACGUUACCCGCAGAAGAAGCACCGGCUAACUCCGUGCCAGCAGCCGCGGUAAUACGGAGGGUGCAAGCGUUAAUCGGAAUUACUGGGCGUAAAGCGCACGCAGGCGGUCUGUCAAGUCGGAUGUGAAAUCCCCGGGCUCAACCUGGGAACUGCAUUCGAAACUGGCAGGCUAGAGUCUUGUAGAGGGGGGUAGAAUUCCAGGUGUAGCGGUGAAAUGCGUAGAGAUCUGGAGGAAUACCGGUGGCGAAGGCGGCCCCCUGGACAAAGACUGACGCUCAGGUGCGAAAGCGUGGGGAGCAAACAGGAUUAGAUACCCUGGUAGUCCACGCCGUAAACGAUGUCGAUUUGGAGGUUGUGCCCUUGAGGCGUGGCUUCCGGAGCUAACGCGUUAAAUCGACCGCCUGGGGAGUACGGCCGCAAGGUUAAAACUCAAAUGAAUUGACGGGGGCCCGCACAAGCGGUGGAGCAUGUGGUUUAAUUCGAUGCAACGCGAAGAACCUUACCUGGUCUUGACAUCCACAGAACUUUCCAGAGAUGGAUUGGUGCCUUCGGGAACUGUGAGACAGGUGCUGCAUGGCUGUCGUCAGCUCGUGUUGUGAAAUGUUGGGUUAAGUCCCGCAACGAGCGCAACCCUUAUCCUUUGUUGCCAGCGGUUCGGCCGGGAACUCAAAGGAGACUGCCAGUGAUAAACUGGAGGAAGGUGGGGAUGACGUCAAGUCAUCAUGGCCCUUACGACCAGGGCUACACACGUGCUACAAUGGCAUAUACAAAGAGAAGCGACCUCGCGAGAGCAAGCGGACCUCAUAAAGUAUGUCGUAGUCCGGAUUGGAGUCUGCAACUCGACUCCAUGAAGUCGGAAUCGCUAGUAAUCGUAGAUCAGAAUGCUACGGUGAAUACGUUCCCGGGCCUUGUACACACCGCCCGUCACACCAUGGGAGUGGGUUGCAAAAGAAGUAGGUAGCUUAACCUUCGGGAGGGCGCUUACCACUUUGUGAUUCAUGACUGGGGUGAAGUCGUACAAGGUAACC